CUACUUCAGGAUGUUGGUUCACUGGAGCACUGCAAAUUAGACUGACAAAAGACAGAUUAUCGGGAGAAAAAAAUACAAAGAAGCUAAUAGGCCGAAGAGCUUAUAUACCAUUUUAAACAAAGAAUGAUAAACUGUGGACACUUGACAGGAAAAAAAAAAAAAGGGUUUGAGGCUUUCCAGAGCAGUCCACUACGGGAAGCUCUCACUCUGGACGAUUAAACACCAAUACCACCAACCUGAGUAGGCCUUCCAGGAAAUACCGGGGACACUAAGAAGC
rnacentral:lncRNA from 1 species